CCUACGGGAGGCAGCAGUGAGGAAUAUUGGUCAAUGGGCGUAAGCCUGAACCAGCCAAGUCGCGUGAGGGAUGAAUGUUCUAUGGAUCGUAAACCUCUUUUAUAAGGGAAUAAAGUGUGGCACGUGUCCUAUUUUGUAUGUACCUUAUGAAUAAGGAUCGGCUAACUCCGUGCCAGCAGCCGCGGUAAUACGGAGGAUCCGAGCGUUAUCCGGAUUUAUUGGGUUUAAAGGGUGCGUAGACGGCUUGUUAAGUCAGUUGUGAAAGUUUGCGGCUCAACCGUAAUAUUGCCGUUGAUACUGGGAGGCUUGAGUAUGUUUGAGGUAGGCGGAAUGCGUGGUGUAGCGGUGAAAUGCUUAGAUAUCACGAAGAACCCCGAUUGCGAAGGCAGCUUGCUAAGCUGUCACUGACAUUGAUGCACGAAAGUGUGGGGAUCAAACAGGAUUAGAUACCCGGGUAGUC
rnacentral:rRNA from 1 species